GCUGCGGCAGCGACACUGUGUGUUGUUGGGUAGGGGAGCGUUCUGUAAGCCUGUGAAGGUGUGUCGUGAGGCAUGCUGGAGGUAUCAGAAGUGCGAAUGCUGACAUAAGUAACGAUAAAGCGGGUGAAAAGCCCGCUCGCCGGAAGACCAAGGGUUCCUGUCCAACGUUAAUCGGGGCAGGGUGAGUCGACCCCUAAGGCGAGGCCGAAAGGCGUAGUCGAUGGGAAACGGGUUAAUAUUCCCGUACUUGGUGUUACUGCGAAGGGGGGACGGAGAAGGCUAUGUUGGCCGGGCGACGGUUGUCCCGGUUUAAGCGUGUAGGUGUGUGUUCCAGGUAAAUCCGGUUCACUUUAACACUGAGGCGUGACGACGAGGCACUACGGUGCUGAAGCAACAAAUGCCCUGCUUCCAGGAAAAGCCUCUAAGCAUCAGGUAACAUCAAAUCGUACCCCAAACCGACACAGGUGGUCAGGUAGAGAAUACCAAGGCGCUUGAGAGAACUCGGGUGAAGGAACUAGGCAAAAUGGUGCCGUAACUUCGGGAGAAGGCACGCUGACACGUAGGUGAAGUGAUUUACUCAUGGAGCUGAAGUCAGUCGAAGAUACCAGCUGGCUGCAACUGUUUAUUAAAAACACAGCACUGUGCAAACACGAAAGUGGACGUAUACGGUGUGACGCCUGCCCGGUGCCGGAAGGUUAAUUGAUGGGGUCAGCGCAAGCGAAGCUCCUGAUCGAAGCCCCGGUAAACGGCGGCCGUAACUAUAACGGUCCUAAGGUAGCGAAAUUCCUUGUCGGGUAAGUUCCGACCUGCACGAAUGGCGUAAUGAUGGCCAGGCUGUCUCCACCCGAGACUCAGUGAAAUUGAACUCGCUGUGAAGAUGCAGUGUACCCGCGGCAAGACGGAAAGACCCCGUGAACCUUUACUAUAGCUUGACACUGAACAUUGAGCCUUGAUGUGUAGGAUAGGUGGGAGGCUUUGAAGUGUGGACGCCAGUCUGCAUGGAGCCGACCUUGAAAUACCACCCUUUAAUGUUUGAUGUUCUAACGUGGACCCGUUACCCGGGUUGCGGACAGUGUCUGGUGGGUAGUUUGACUGGGGCGGUCUCCUCCUAAAGAGUAACGGAGGAGCACGAAGGUUGGCUAAUCCUGGUCGGACAUCAGGAGGUUAGUGCAAUGGCAUAAGCCAGCUUGACUGCGAGCGUGACGGCGCGAGCAGGUGCGAAAGCAGGUCAUAGUGAUCCGGUGGUUCUGAAUGGAAGGGCCAUCGCUCAACGGAUAAAAGGUACUCCGGGGAUAACAGGCUGAUACCGCCCAAGAGUUCAUAUCGACGGCGGUGUUUGGCACCUCGAUGUCGGCUCAUCACAUCCUGGGGCUGAAGUAGGUCCCAAGGGUAUGGCUGUUCGCCAUUUAAAGUGGUACGCGAGCUGGGUUUAGAACGUCGUGAGACAGUUCGGUCCCUAUCUGCCGUGGGCGCUGGAGAACUGAGGGGGGCUGCUCCUAGUACGAGAGGACCGGAGUGGACGCAUCACUGGUGUUCGGGUUGUCAUGCCAAUGGCACUGCCCGGUAGCUAAAUGCGGAAGAGAUAAGUGCUGAAAGCAUCUAAGCACGAAACUUGCCCCGA
rnacentral:rRNA from 1 species